rnacentral:rRNA from 1 species
CCUACGGGUGGCAGCAGUGAGGAAUAUUGGUCAAUGGACGCGAGUCUGAACCAGCCAAGUCGCGUGAAGGAUGACUGUCCUAUGGGUUGUAAACUUCUUUUAUAUGGGAGUAAAAUGUGCCACGCGUGGCGUUCUGAGAGUACCCUAUGAAAAAGCAUCGGCUAACUCCGUGCCAGCAGCCGCGGUAAUACGGAGGAUCCGAGCGUUAUCCGGAUUUCUUGGGUUUAAAGGGAGCGGAGGCGGAUUGUCAAGUUAGUUGUAAAAGUUUGGGGGUCAACCGUAGAAUGGCAGUUGAAACUGGCAGUCUUGAGUGCAGGAGAGGUAGGCGGAAUUCGUGGUGUAGCGGUGAAAUGCAUAGAUAUCACGAAGAACUCCGAUUGCGAAGGCAGUACACUGGACUGCAACUGACACUGAGGCACGAAAGUGUGGGUAUCAAACAGGAUUAGAUACCCUUGUAGUC